AAGCAAUUAGAAGGGAUUCUUGAUGCUGGACUUUUUCUUCCAGUUUGACGACUUUGGCCUCCAGUUGAACCAUCUUUGACUCUAAAUUAUUUUUGAGUUCCACCUUUCACAAAAUCAGAGCUGGUUCAGUUGUUCCUCGACCGGGAAGCCUGCGGUCAAACAUGUCGAGCAAACGAAAAGUAAAAAACUCAAAUGGUAAGGUGAGAGAGACAUUCUGUUUGCCUCAAGUCGUGAUUUUACUCGGAAAAGCAUGCCGUGCACGUACUCGUGAUGCGCAAUUGUUUGAUUAGACGUUCCAUAUUGAUUUUUACGAUAAAAUCUAUUGUAAGCAAGGGGAAUUUUUGUUUAAUGAGUUUCUUUAGUUUACUCUAUCCUAUUUUGUUUGCUUCGUGUCAAGUUGAGCUUAAGAAUUAUUGAAAGGGAAUUUUUUUUAGUCUUUUAUCGAUCGAAAGCUUAAGUAAAUCAUGAGUCAAUUCGAUAAGCAGUCAAGAAAGUACACAGAGCUGAUUUUUUUUUAUUUUAUGAGUUUUAUAAUGCGUAAAGCUAUAUAGGUUUAACC